rnacentral:rRNA from 1 species
UGCCAGACUCCUACGGGAGGCAGUGGGGAAUAUUGCACAAUGGGCGAAAGCCUGAUGCAGCAACGCCGCGUGAAGGAAGAAGGCCUUCGGGUCGUAAACUUCUGUCCUUGGGGAAGAAGAACUGACGGUACCCAAGGAGGAAGCCCCGGCUAACUACGUGCCAGCAGCCGCGGUAAUACGUAGGGGGCAAGCGUUAUCCGGAUUUACUGGGUGUAAAGGGGGCGCAGACGGCGAUGCAAGCCAGGAGUGAAAGCCCGGGGCCCAACCCCGGGACUGCUCUUGGAACUGCGUGGCUGGAGUGCAGGAGGGGCAGGCGGAAUUCCUGGUGUAGCGGUGAAAUGCGUAGAUAUCAGGAGGAACACCGGUGGCGAAGGCGGCCUGCUGGACUGCAACUGACGUUGAGGCCCGAAAGCGUGGGGAGCGAACAGGAUUAGAUACCCCAGUACC